AAUUGAUUCAGUUCAAUGUCAUCAAAAUCUUACUCCAGCCAGUUGCCCACAGUUUGCAACCUUGAAAUGCCUGUUGUUGUUAGUUGACACAUUUACUGUAUACAUCAGUUCAUGCCUACCAAAAAUUAAUGAACACCACAAAAUCAAAUUCCCUAGUCAUAGCCAAACUCCAGAAUUAUGUAAACAUGUUUCGUUAUGCUGAGUGAUGACAGUAAUAUCGGCGCUGCUGAGAGCUUUCAGAGGUCAAGACAGGUUUGGUUAUGUAUGUGUGUGUGUGUGUGUGAUCGGUUCCUCUGGGUGUGAUGCUGUGUGAGCUUCUAAUCUUCAGCACUGCUAACAUGGGCAGAAACUGUGGUGAGCUCAGCCGUCCUGCUCACUCACAGCCGCUCCGUGCCUCUGGGACGAGUGAAAAUAUAUCUCCAGCGCUCUCCCACCAUCGCCAAUUUGCUGAAGCUAUGCAACAGAGCUCAUUGAACUUUGCAUGCAAUAUAUGAUAACCAGCUCGCUGUGGGAUUCAGAAUAGGCUUCAUUUCUUUGGUGCUUUUUUUCUGCUGAUGACACUGGCUUGUUUCGGGAUUGUUUGUUUGAAAUGUGUCCUUUUCCUCCAGGGGCUGGAAAGUGCUGAUGAACGCUGUCGUCCGGAGAGGUGCUGGCCUGAUGGGAUGAUGGGACGAUGGGACGGAGGAAUAAAGCGAGAGCAGUGUGGUGUUCUCAUCUCCUCAGAUCUCUGCAAAAAGGCAGUAUGGAAGCUGGAGGUGAAAAGCAGGAUUAGAGGAGGCUGAAGCGUUUGGAAGAUGGACUGCGAGGCCGAGCGAUUCACCAGCCGACAAUCUCAGCUUCACAAGCCGGUUGACUGGAGCUCAACGGCGGCUUAAGAGGACAUCUUCGCUCAGCUGCACAGACGUUGACUCUUAAAAGGUUGAGAGAAGAGAGCAGACCGGCUAGAAAUAAUGGUCACUUUCAGAGGAAAACAGCCAAUUGCCUCCAUUGUUUUUGACUGAAGGCGUCUAGCUGCGCUUUAUGCCACUGUUGAGUUGUUGUAGCAGAUCUUUAUGUUGUCUCUGUGUCUUUGGAAGCAUCUGAUGUGUUUACAGUGCAUGCAAGAUAUGCUUUUUAGCAGUGUAACAAACCUGUGAAUCGUGACAUUGCAAGAUAUAAACUGCAGCCAGUGCCAGGGACUGUACAGGCCUGAAAUGAAGAAAAGCUGGAAAUAAAUCUCACAAAUCAUCACCA
ensembl:lncRNA